UUGGUCCUUAAAUUUCAUAAUAAAUACAAAUGAGAAUUUGUCACUGCCCACUGGGAAUCUCCACUAGGUUGUCCUAUAGUUACCUCAAAUGCAAUAUGCUCCAAACAAAACUUAUCUUUCCUUUGAAUGGUCUUCUCUACUUAAACUCCUCUUUCCACUGUUGGCUUAACCAUGUGAGGAAGAUUGCAAACAAAGACCCUUCACCCUUCCCUUAUCCACAUUCCAUUGAUUUAUCUUUCACAAUUUCCUAACAUCCGGUCAAAUGAGUCACUGCAUGCUUUUCAAAUAUGUCAUGUGCUUCCCCAUUACCGUAACUUUACUCAUGUUAUUUUCUCUGUCUGGAAUAUCUCCUACCAACUCUCUACCUGUAAAAAUCCUUCUCAUUCUUGAAAACCUCUCUCAAGGGUUUUCUUGUAUAAUGCCCAGCCUCAUUAGCCAACCAAUAGGAGCUUUCUUUCCUUCCAAUUUCACUUAUUUCAUUUGACUCAGCUGACUUUACACCAUACAUUUCUCAUAUACUUUUCUUUAGCUUCCUAACAUUUAGGGCACUCCUUGAGGCAAGGAUUGUGCCUCACUUUGCUUUGUAUUUGUAGCCCCCAGCUUUUUCUGGCAUAGUUUUGAAUUGCCUUGAGCCUGAAGUUCAUUAUAGGUGAACUUUAAUACCUAUCAAAUGGGAACAUGUGUAUGCCUGACUCUCCCUCUUCUCUUCCCUCAUCCUUUGCGUCUUUGAGCUCUUUAAACAUGUCCCCCUAACAUGUUUUAAAUCUAUCUUCUAUUCACAAUUUCCACUUCCUUGGUUCAGACCCUCAUUGUCUCUCAUAUAGAUAACUUCAAAAUCCCCUGAACCCCUCUUCCUGCCUUCAAAACUGGUGACUCUGAAAGGCAUAGCUCUCUGCUUCAAACUUUUCAAUGGCUUAUCCAAGGCAAUGAAAUGAAGUCCCAGUUUCUUUUAUGACAAAAGAGGCUCUAUAUAAUCUAGCCGGGCUCAUUUCUCCCAUCUUAUUAUCUCUCAGAAUUGACACUUUUUCUGGUCAUGCAUUCCUUCCCAACCCUAACCAAGAAAAUUAGGACUGGCCAUGUGGUGGGCAUUUAUUGUUUUUGUCUGCUUAUUCCUCCUCUCUUCUAGAAUCCUGCACUUCUAACUACAUAGUUGACCAGUUAGAAUACUUCAUUUCUUUCUCCAGGACAUGGCCCACAUAGACUCUUUCCUGGGACUUUCUAAAUGGAGCUGUGUGAGAAGAGUUCCUUUCUGUUUUGACUCUGGAGCUAAAGGUUGAGAGCUCAGAGCUACCCAUGUUCUACCCUGUGAACAUGAAGGCAAUCAAUUCAGGGAGUCAAGCAGAAACAAGCCAUUCAGAGCAAGUCGUUCACGUCACCCUGGACACUCUGGCUCUGCUUUCCACACUCAUGCCAGGUUUGUUUGUCCAGUGCUUUUUGUUCCAGGUGCCAUCCCAGGAGGCUUAGUUACCUGUAAGCAUUUGGUUAAUAUCGCUCUCUUCUCAGCUAGACCGUAAGCUCCCCAAGUGCACAACUAUGUUGAUUUUGUUCUCUGCUGGAUCUCCAGCACUUAAAUAAAUAUUUAUAGUUGACUGUGAGGCAGAUCUGUGAGAGGAAUGAAGAAGAAUGUUAAGACCUCCCAGAUGGGCUUCGGGUGGCCUAUCCAAGGUGGAACUUUGCAUAAUGAGAAAUGUAAUUCAGUAGGAAAACAAAGAAUUCCCUCAUCCUCCUCUGGUCUCUGAACAGGUGAUCAGCUCAAGGUGGUUCACAGCAGUGGGAAGGACCUUGGGGUCUACACCAAGUAGACCUGAGACAUGAUUGACCCUCCUGGACGGGAGGCUUGUGAGAGUGGUUGGGCUGAAGGCUAACACUGUGCAACGUCUGGAGUUUCCUCUGCUUUUUCAACCAAAAUCAGCUGUUUUCCAGAAACCCACCUAUUUUCCUGUUUUCUCUGUGUGUAUCCUGAGAUGACCUUACACACACACACUGAACCAUCCACCUCAGGGACACAAUAGAAGAAACUGGUUAUUUUACCAAGGCCUGGACCGGAAUGGCAUGCUUUCUUUUAAGAAAUCAAAGUUAACUUACAGAGCCAAUGAAAGCCCCUUGGGAAGACUGGCCUCAUAUCUUGUCUACACAGUACCUAUACAGGAUUCCUGACCUGUCAUAAAUAAAGAAUGUCAUUUUCUGCCAGGCCCAGAAGCACCAGGUUAUCUCAGGGCCUCAAGAGGAAAGGAAUUUACCCAACUUAUACAGGUAUUUAAUGGCACAAACCCAUAGCUGGGCUUAAGGCUUUAAAAAGUUUUAUCUGAGAUUUCUUAUGGAGCAAAGUUCUAUCAAAAGCAAUUUAAAAAGGAAUCUAUAUGGCAAAUAAUUAUUCUUAUUGUGCUUUAUGUAAAUAAUCAGACCAAUUAUAAUAAGACUAAAGCUUAUUUUGCAAACAAGUCUGUCCUAUCAUAAUUUGUUUUUAAUUAAAAUGAGGGCUAGAGAGAGAAAAAUUAUGUUUCAAGUACUAUAGUACACUUGUUAUUAGGUUCUAAUCUCAUCAGUUUUUUCUGAGUUUUUAUCUGCAGUUGAUUCUUGUGAUCUCUGACUGUGGCUCAGAAGAAACAAGACGGAUGGGUAAUGUAAAAAUCUGGACCAAUAUUGUAAUUCUGGGCACAUAUUGGAAUCAGCUAGCAACACUGUAUACCAAUUAGCAGGCAUUACUAUAGCCAUCAGUUACCAGGGCAUAUUGGCAGCCUCAAGAUUUUUUGGAGCUGUCCUCACCCCCUUAUUUCAUUUUAAAAUUCUUCUAAAUCUAGUAACCAGAUUUUUCUCCUCUCACCUUCAGACCAUCAAGCUCCAAAUAAUCCUCAGUGACGGCUGCCAUCCUCUCAAUAUUCAAGAGUCACCCUUCUACAGGGGACUCCUAGACUGCCCGUCAGUGAGACAUGAGACAAAACCCUGCCCCUGUCUCCCACAGACUUGACUAAAUAUCACUUUCACCAACCCAUAGAGCCACCCUACCCUGACAGCUAGCAAGAGGCCAAGACCCACAGAACAACAAUAGAGCAACCACCUCUUCUCCACUGUCAGCAGGAAGUAGUUACAGAAAACUGACCUUCAUCCAUUUUCACCAAAGAAUUAGGGUCUUGGACUCUUGGCAGGUGGUAAAUGUUAUAGUAGGUAGCCAGUCAGACAUGAAGAGAAAAGGAGAGACCAUCUCCCCCUCCACCACCAGUAAUGCCAGGUGGCCAUCAGAUGAUGGUCAGACAGUUGUUGUCUCUCUAAAAUAAUAACUGGUCUCAGCCAACACCAGAAAAAGGCAGUCAAACAAUAGGUAGGAAACGCCUGAAGAUGUGAUCAGAAGCUUCCUGAUAAGAUCUCAGGAGUUGAGAGAAUGGGCAUAAGUAUGCAUAGUAAGGGGCAAAAUGGUGGAGUUUAGGUGGUAUAUGACCUUCUAAGAACACUCGAAUGGUAAGGGACGAAUGCCUCAGGUGAGCAUGUGUACAUCUCUAGUAAACACACUGCACAUGCAGCCUCUGCCAAGUGCUGGCAGGCCACUGACCAUGAAGACAGCCCACCCCAAGGGAAGAAUCACGGAAGAACUAACACAAAGCUGGAAACAUGCCAAUGUAUAAGACCCCAAGUCAAAGGUCAAACCACACACUUGACCUCUCAAGUCACCCAGUUGGCCCUCUUCCAAAUGCACAUUACUUCCUGUCAUUCCUGCUUUAAAGCUUUUUAAUAAACUUUCACUUCUGCUCUAAAA